GUGCUUGCUUCUGCAACACAUAUACUAAAAUUGGAAUGAUGAAAGAUAAGCAUGGCUCCUGUGCAGGGGUGACGUGCAAAUCUAUGAAGCAGUCCAUGUUUAA